UACGAGGGGGGCGAGCGUUGUUCGGAAUUAUUGGGCGUAAAGGGCUCGCAGGCGGUCUUCUAAGUCUGAUGUGAAAUCUUGCGGCUUAACCGCAAGCGGUCAUUGGAAACUGGAGGACUUGAGUACAGAAGAGGAGAGUGGAAUUCCACGUGUAGCGGUGAAAUGCGUAGAGAUGUGGAGGAACACCAGUGGCGAAGGCGACUCUCUGGUCUGUAACUGACGCUGAGGAGCGAAAGCGUGGGGAGCGAACAGG
rnacentral:rRNA from 1 species